AGAACAUCGAGCAAUUACCAGCUACGCCAGAAGACAUCGACUCUGGCCCAUAAACGUCAGGCAAAAGAAAAACUUCUGACUCCUUGGAAAGCACUUCAGAAGUCCUUGAUUUCGGGCCAUCAACUUCUAAGAAGAAGAAGUCUCAUCUAGAGGCUUAAAUACAACAAAAGAAGAAGUCGGACGAAAAGCUUGAAAACUUCCUGGAGGAAAGUUUAAGGAAGAAGGAGGAGAGAGCUCAAGAAAAGGC